ACAAUAUGGACAUUUGGGUCCUUGUUGAUACGCCUCCAAUUCUACCGCUAUCUUAUUUUGAUUGUUCAAACAAUGUGCGGAACAUGGUAGACAGAACCUACUACACCGAUGGCUCUGAGUUAACUUAUAAGGAGAAAACUCAUCUGGUCGGAUUUUGUACUGAUAUUGAGAAUUACAAUAUCUGCAAUCAAACUCCUCAUGAUUAUGGUCCUCCAUACGUGCCACUAGUGCACGUGUUGAACUAGGUAACUACUAUGGAGAUACCCUGAUAAUCCCAGAGGAUUGUGUGCCUCAUUUGAUGUAUCAGAAUGGUAGGCUUGAUGUUUUGAAUAUACAACCAGGUCAUCCUACGAAUCUCAACUGUCCAUAC